AAAAGAACUAACUAACAAAUAAAGCUCUGCAACUUUUAUUUUAUCUAAUGCGAUCAAAAGAGUGAUCUUAUUAAAGGUGCAAAAACAAAUCAAAUUGUUCCAUACAUAUGGAUGGGGACACAGAUGAAAGUGUAUCUAAAAAGAAAAGUCUUGGAUCUGUUAGCGGAGGAGGAGAUAGAGAAUGACAGUCGAAAGUUUACAGCAUACAAUCCGUGUUUGUUAUCAUUUCAUCUUAGCCACUCAACGUGAUAAAAAUCAACGGUCCCUCCGGUUUGUGAUAAAGUAUGUGAAACUAAUGCUGUGAGCCGAUCCCGCCCCAUUUUCAUUUACGUUUAUAUGCUUAUUAUGGAUUAUUGAAGAACAGUUGACAGUUUUUACCAUUUACUUCGUAAUAAAAUGGGUCAUGAA